rnacentral:rRNA from 1 species
AUACGGAGGGGGCUAGCGUUGUUCGGAAUUACUGGGCGUAAAGCGCACGUAGGCGGAUCGGUCAGUUGGGGGUGAAAUCCCACGGCUCAACCUUGGAACUGCCCUCAAUACUGCCGGUCUUGAGUCCGAGAGAGGUGAGUGGAAUUCCUAGUGUAGAGGUGAAAUUCGUAGAUAUUAGGAAGAACACCAGUGGCGAAGGCGGCUCACUGGCUCGGUACUGACGCUGAGGUGCGAAAGCGUGGGGAGCAAACAGGAUUAGAAACCCCAGUAGUCC